UUGUUACUUUUUAUAUCCAAUUUCAAGCAGAGAGCAGAUCGUCCCAGGCUCCGGUGCCAGAGAGAUUGUCUGUGUCAGUGGAUUUGCUAAACCCUGCUCUUGUUUUCUGGGUAUUAUCACAUUCUUGCUGUGACUUUUUUUUCUCGCAACUUUUGCGUAUUCUCUUGUUUGUUUUGGUGAAUAUUUUGUUUAUCUUCUUCUCUAUGGAAAUGGGUUUCUCUUAGAUUAUGUUCAAUUUCUCUGGCUACAAAUUUUUUCGAUUUCUUCAAUAUAUGGGCAUGGAACAUUAGAAAUUUUGUGGCAGACCCAUGUUUUAGUUGUUGAUUUAGGGUCAAGUUGUGAACUUUUUAGGCGUAAAUGGCAAACUUUUCAGAAGAUAUCAUUGCAGACAUACUCUUUCGACUUCCUGUGAAGUCUGUUGGUAGAUUCAGGUGUGUUUCAAAGUCAUGGCUUCACCUUACCACCCAACCCCACUUCAUCCAAACCCAUUUCAACAGAACCCAGACUCAGAAACUCAUUCUCAGCUCUCAUUCUCUCUUCUCCUUGGACCAUUUAGCAACUAUAGAUGAUGAUAUGUUGCCCUUGGAGCUUGAUUUUCCACUCAAUACCCAUCUCAAAACUAAAUGGGUUCUCGUGUCUGGUUCCUGUAAUGGUCUGGUCUGCAUCAUGCCUCAGCCAGAAGCCUUCUUUAUAUUUAACCCUUCAACCAGAGAGUCCAUGAGAGUACCAGAUUGCCCCAUGCCAAGCCAUGCUUGUACUCAACAAGGAGUGCGUUUUCAUCGUCAUGCCCACGGUUUUGGUCAUGCUCCUCCUAUGAGUGAUUACAAGUUUGUCAAGGUUGCUUAUGGAUGCAUGGUACUUGUCUUCUCAUUGAAAAACAAUUCAUGGAAAAGGGUUCAAGAUUUUCCCUUCAAACAUCUUUUGGAUGUCUAUGGGACAUUUCUCAAUGGAGCUGUCCAGUGGUUAUGUGGCCCUCUUGGAGUUGGAGGUCCCUGUGUUAUUGUUGCUUUUGAUUUAGCAGAGGAAAAGUUCUCAGACUUGGCCACACCUGAUUCUGUCACGAAUUAUCAGAGAUUUAUAACUGGCAUUUUGGAAGGGUGCCUUUGUUUACUACAUUACCAUGAUGAUCAUAAGCAACACUCAUUUUGGGUUAUGAAAGAGUAUAAUGUGAAGGAGUCUUGGACUAAGAUUAUGAUAACCAACUCCUACUUUUCUUUACAGCCAUUGUGUUACUAGAAGAAUACCAAUAUACUUCUGGUGAGAAAUCAAAAGCAAUUACUUAUGUGCAACCGAAAGGACGGAACAUGUAAAAAAUUCUUGGUAAAUGGCCUUCCGAGUGACUUCAAUGCUGAUGUGUAUGUGGAGAGCCUCAUCUCUCCAAACUUUCAGCAGAACUAAGGAUUGUGUUUAAUCCAGUGUUUACGUUUCUUCUUCUGUGCAUUAUGCACUACUUACGUCUUGUAUGGAACUCAGAAAGUUUAUGUUUUGUGGGUAACGAAGUUGUUUCCUUGUGUGUAAGCUUUCACUUAGAGCAUUCAUAAUGGAAUGGUGUAUAAGGGAGUGUAUGUUAAAUAGACACCCCUUGUCACCGUAAUAAUCUCCAAUUGUGAGAUGUAAAGGGUUGUAAACAUACAUCACCACCAUAGAAAUGUAAAAUAAAAUGCACAUUUGCAUCUAUUUUUACAUCGUUUA